rnacentral:rRNA from 1 species
AGCAGUCGCCGCGGUAAUACGAAGGGUGCAAGCGUUAAUCGGAAUUACUGGGCGUAAAGCGUGCGUAGGCGGUUUGUUAAGUCUGUUGUGAAAUCCCCGGGCUCAACCUGGGAAUGGCAAUGGAUACUGGCAAGCUAGAGUGUGUAAGAGGAUGGUGGAAUUCCCGGUGUAGCAGUGAAAUGCGUAGAGAUCGGAAGGAACAUCUGUGGCGAAGGCGACUAUCUGGGCCAACACUGACACUGAGGCACGAAAGCGUGGGAGCAAACAGGAUUAGAUACCCCGGUAGUCCCUGUCUCUUAUACA